rnacentral:lncRNA from 1 species
CAUCUUAAAUAAACAUGCCCCAUUCAAGAAAUGUAGAACCAGGAACAGAUAUAGCCCUUGGUUCUCCCCAGACCUGACUGCCCUUAACCAACACAAAAACAUCCUAUGGCGUUCUGCAUUAGCAUCGAACAGCCCCUGUGAUAUGCAGCUGUUCAGGGAAGCUAGAAACCAUUAUACACAGGCAGUUAGAAAAGCCAAGGCUAGCUUUUUCAAGCAGAAAUUUGCUUCCUGCAACACUAACUCAAAAAAGUUCUGGGACACUGUAAAGUCCAUGGAGAAUAAGAACACCUCCUCCCAGCUGCCCACUGCACUGAAGAUAGGAAACACUGUCACCACUGAUAAAUCCACCAUAAUUGAGAAUUUCAAUAAGCAUUUUUCUACGGCUGGCCAUGCUUUCCACCUGGCUACUCCUACCCCGGUCAACAGCACUGCACCUCCCACAGCAACUCGCCCAAGCCUUCCCCAUUUCUCCUUCUCCCAAAUCCAUUCAGCUGAUGUUCUGAAAGAGCUGCAAAAUCUGGCCCCCUACAAAUCAGCCGGGCUAGACAAUCUGGACCCUUUCUUUCUAAAAUUAUCUGCCGAAAUUGUUGCCACCCCUAUUACUAGCCUGUUCAACCUCUCUUUCGUGUCGUCUGAGAUUCCCAAAGAUUGGAAAGCAGCUGCGGUCAUCCCCCGCUUCAAAGGGGAGGACACUCUUGACCCAAACUGCUACAGACCUAUAUCUAUCCUACCAUGCCUUUCUAAGGUCUUCGAAGUCAACAAACAGAUUACCGACCAUUUCGAAUCUCACCAUACCUUCUCUGCUAUGCAAUCUGGUUUCAGAGCUGGUCAUGGGUGCACCUCAGCCACGCUCAAGGUCCUAAACGAUAUCUUAACCGCCAUCGAUAAGAAACAUUACUGUGCAGCCGUAUUCAUUGAUCUGGCCAAGGCUUUCGACACUGUCAAUCACCACAUCCUCAUCGGCAGACUCGACAGCCUUCGUUUCUCAAAUGAUUGCCUCGCCUGGUUCACCAACUACUUCUCUGAUAGAGUUCAGUGUGUCAAAUCGGAGGGUCUGCUGUCCGGACCUCUGGCAGUCUCUAUGGGGGUGCCACAGGGUUCAAUUCUUGGACCGACUCUCUUCUCUGUAUACAUCAAUAAGGUCGCUCUUGCUGCUGGUGAGUCUCUGAUCCACCUCUACGCA